rnacentral:rRNA from 1 species
GACGAACGCUGGCGGCGUGCCUAACACAUGCAAGUGGAGCGACGAACCAGGCUUCGGCCUGGAGCAAAGCCGCGAACGGGUGAGUAACACGUGGGUAACCUGCCCCGAUGACCGGGACAACCCGAGGAAACUCGGGCUAAUACCGGAUGUGCCCUACCGGCAUCAGCCGGCCGGGUAAAGGAAGCUUCGGCCUCCGCAUUGGGAGGGGCCCGCGGCCCAUUAGCUAGUUGGUGGGGUAAUGGCCUACCAAGGCGACGAUGGGUAGCUGGUCUGAGAGGACGAUCAGCCACACUGGGACUGAGACACGGCCCAGACUCCUACGGGAGGCAGCAGUGGGGAAUCUUGCGCAAUGCGCGAAAGCGUGACGCAGCAACGCCGCGUGGGGGAAGAAGGCCUUCGGGUUGUAAACCCCUUUCAGGAGGGACGAAGGUGUGGGGGCGAAUAGCCUCCCGCACUGACGGUACCUCCAGAAGAAGCCCCGGCUAACUACGUGCCAGCAGCCGCGGUAAGAC